GUUAUAGGCGAGGCGAGAGAAACCUAAAAGUUCUUAAGAAGAAAUUGAGCUGUUCAUCUUCCAUUCAGGAUUCAAUCCAUUCAGGAAGAUCUCUCAGACACAAUGAAUCCAGGUAACUCUAUAAAUAUUCAUAUGAUUCUAUUAUGUGAUUAACCUAGAUGUUUAAAGAUCUUAGGGUUCAUGUAAACUUAACUUACAUGUGGUAUCAGAGCAUGGUUAUGAACAUCUCUUUAAUCCAUUAAGAAUAAUAGAUCUAUGAACUUGAUAAUUGAAAUUGAUAGAUCUGAGUAUUAAGAUUUCUAGAUCUGCUUAUGAGUUUUAUUUUCGUAUGUGUGCGAAACUUGUGCAUCUGAAAUAAUUAUUUUUCCAAUGUGCACACACAUUAUUGGUGGUUGGAUUUAUGAUAACAGAAUGAGUCUUUCGUUAAAGACAUUAAAGAGACCAUUACGAUACUCAUACUUAUGUUUAUGGUCUAACUAUGAAGGUGGUCAAUGCGGUAAUACAUGGAAGAGAUUAUGUUGCAGAAUGAUGUGCGACCGCCAUGACUCUCAUUGAUUACUAGAUUAGUCAAAACACUUAUGAUGACCAAACGAAAAAUAAAGUUAUAGCAUAUUAUGCCGACAUUAUGAUUCCAUAAAGAAAACAUUAGUGGAUCUUACUAACGACUAAGUAGGAG
rnacentral:lncRNA from 1 species